rnacentral:rRNA from 1 species
GGGCGUUAAGUUGCAGGGUAUAGACCCGAAACCCGGUGAUCUAGCCAUGGGCAGGUUGAAGGUUGGGUAACACUAACUGGAGGACCGAACCGACUAAUGUUGAAAAAUUAGCGGAUGACCUGUGGCUGGGGGUGAAAGGCCAAUCAAACCGGGAGAUAGCUGGUUCUCCCCGAAAGCUAUUUAGGUAGCGCCUCGUGAAUUCAUCUCCGGGGGUAGAGCACUGUUUCGGCUAGGGGGCCAUCCCGGCUUAC